UGAUACGCGGUUUUGCACUUUAAACGACGAUAUGUUAUACUUAUGUUAUCUUAUAUAGCGUUUUCUUUUCUACACGAAUAUGUUGCCAUACCGAGGUGCGAAAGUCGUUUAAAGUUGCACUUCGCCCUGUGAAUUUGGCACCCUGCUUAAGGUUCAGUGUAGCCCUUCAGACUUACACAGGAUCACAAACUGCAGCCCUGAAAUGCAAUCAGCUGUUUUCUCGAGCGCUAAACGGAGUGCAGCAAAAUAGUUACAGUAUGGACAGAAGGCGAAACAAGACUCUUGCUGGAUAAGUACGCUUCCUUUUUUCCGGACGUUGGGAUCUUCGAGCAGUUAAAGACAAAGAAGGAAAUGUGGAUGAAGAUUGGCGCUGAGUUCGACGGGAAAAGUUGGAAGCAGUGUGAAGAGAGGUAUAAGACCAUCUUGAAACGAAAAAAGGCGGCAGUGGAAAACAACAGCAGCUCAGGUGCAAAACGCCAAAAGCUGCAGUUUGAAGAAGAGCUAGAAAAAAUUUGCAAACUGGAUGAUUCCAUUGAACCGGCAAUAAAACUGAGUAGCCAAUGUGUAGUUAAUAAAGAGGUCUCACCAAAAGAAAAUUAAAGAAAGAAGAAAACGAUGCAAGAAACUCUAGUUGAAAUUGCUGCUAGGAAAGAGAAAGCCAGGGAGAAGCGACACAAGGAAAGAAUUGAGAAAGCUACAAGAAUCGAAAGCCUUAUGGAAAAAUGUUUGACUGAAAGCAAACCAGCUUAAACCUGUGGGUGUGCGCGAUAUAGUUAUAAAAUCAGCUCUUGGUUUGCAGGCUUCUGCAAAUGGAUGUAAAAUGAUUGCAAGUGCCUUUCGUUUCCGGCCGAACGUUUCGCCAAAUAACAUUUUCACCGGCGCCCUUCGCUCAUUUACAACAACUGCCUUUUCUCCAUCACCACAUCAUGUCAUUGACGGCCAAAUCCACAUCACCUUUAUACGGCGUGUUCGGAAACACUGCUCUUGCUAGUGGUUCGGAUUUCGGAGCAACUUGAACAGCAACAACGGCACCAACAGAACAUUCGGUUUAACCCUGACAAACCUGUACUUGUACAAACAUUCCCCAAGCCAUACAAAUAUACCCACAUUGACGUUGCUGCCAGUGAUUUUGUAUUGCCAGAUGAGCCGACCGUUGCACCAAUCGUGGCAUUGGCAAAAACACAUUUAUAGAUUUAGGCGUAUAACUAGCGUUUGCAAUUAUACGACAGUUGACGAUUUAUUUAUUUCUUUUUAACUUGAAUCCAUUUUUAUAAUAAUAGGAUUCAUUCGAUAAUAAUAUUAUAUAUAUAUAUAUAUAUAUAUAUAUAUAUAUAUCACGAUUGAAAGAAUACAAAGCUUGCGCCGAUCUCGCUAUUCCUCUACAUUUUUUCAUGUGCUAAAAAUCGUGCUUACCUAAAGGGCUACAUGUCCGAA